UAGGGAAUAUUAGAAAUGGACGAAAGUCUGAUCUAGCAACACCGCGUGUGCGAAGAAGGCCUUCGGGUCGUAAAGCACUUUUUGGAAGGAAUAGGAAGGAAUGUACUUCCAGAAUAAGUCUCGGCUAACUACGUGCCAGCAGCCGCGGUAACACGUAGGAGGCGAACGUUAUCCGGAUUUACUGGGCGUAAAGCGCGUGUAGGUGGUACUGUAAGUAGGGCGUGAAAGCUCCUGGCUCAACUGGGAGAGGCCGUUCUAAACUACAGAACUAGAGGAUGGUAGAGGGAGGUGGAAUUCCAGGUGUAGCGGUGGAAGGCGCAGAUAUCUGGAGGAACACCGGUGGCGAAGGCGGCCUCCUGGACCAUUCCUGACACCCAGACGCGAAAGCUAGGGUAGCGAACGG
rnacentral:rRNA from 1 species